rnacentral:sRNA from 1 species
GAUCCUCCUGCUUCUGCCUCUCAAGUGCAAGUGCUGGGAUUAAAGGCGCGUGCCACUACCUCCCGGGAGUAGAAUUUCUUUGUAAAUAAAGAAAAGGAUUAAAUGAUUAAGAACAUAGACUUGUCUGAGAAGAUACACCCAAAAUAAACUCACUUCUUGAAUAAGUUCAAUGAAUGCUGUGAAUAUGUGCUCUAUUAAAAUGUUGCUUCUCAAAGGGAGAGAAAAGGAGUAGGUAAUGGCCUAUUUGUUACAGAAAGCAGCUCAUUUCAGAGUCCCCAUGAAAAAGCCCGGACAAGAAGCAAAUUUAAUGAAGGAGGACUUGAUUUUGUGCUUCUGCAAGGCACUGUGCUUUGGUUCAGUGGCUUGGCAAGACAAGGCAUACUAAACUGUUUCCUCUGAAGCUGCCAGGAGGAAGAAAAUAAGCGGCUUGACUGAGUAGAAGGGGGUUGAACACUUCUAAUUAAAAUGUAAAUACUUCCCAGAGCCAAUAGCUUGUAGGAAAAAAAAUAUUGGAAAGAUGGUCCACACUAAAACUACACCAUGCAAAACAGGUUCUAAGUCUGCACAAAACCUGAGCCAACCUGUAGAUGUAAUUACCUCACCAUGAAAUUAUUCAAACCCAGUCAGUUGAAGCCAUGUGCAGGAAAACAGGCGGCUGUUGGGUCCGCUGAGGUCACUGACUAACACUGAGGGCUGCUUUAUGAAGAAAAAGGAGCUUGAGCAACUUGAAACUCAUGAACAAGGUGUAUGUGAUGUUGGGACUUUCUGGAAGGAGCUGGUCAAUCUGUGAGCUCACAGUUUUGUCCCACCUGACAGACUGGGAAGGGAGCUCUGCUAGCCCUGCCCUGAAGCUGCCAACCCAGGUCCUUUGGAGACCCAAAGCUGGGAAAAGAGCUGUCCAAGAGUACUGAACCAAAUAAAAUGCAACCUAAGCUUAACGGGAACAGCGGACUUGAGUUUUCUGGCACUGUGCCGCCAUUAGCCCAGGCAGUCAAUUUUCAUCGACAUCCCAGCAUCUAGACAGGACCAAGUCUGCAGCAAAGGUUGGCACAGCAGCAGCUGGAGGCUGCUCGCAUGGUGGGUGUGGCCUCUCUGCUUUCAUACAGACUUUCUGCCUCAGCUCCACUUUCCUAUUUGAUUUCCUGGUUGCUUCACAGAGUAGAGAUGAUUUUGACGUUGGUGACGUCGUAACGGGUCCAACCUGCUCUGCAGUCUGGAGGCCUACGUCUGUGCACUCAUGCUUUACAGUUCUGUUUCUACUGCUGGAGAGACUCCCUCUGUAACACACAUCUUAUUAUAUAAAUACGCAUUGUAAGCAUAAUCACACGCUUAUGUUCUGGUGAUUGUUAUAGGAAAUAUGAAACACCCAGAAACCUAGGAAGGUGAAUUGAAAAGUUUCACAUCAACUCAGUGUGAUUCUAUCUUCCAGCUUUUCUCUGACCAGGGCCCUAGCCUCACAAAGAGCUGAUGUUCUCUAACAUAGUACUUUGAAUUUUGAUUUUUUUUUUCUUCUUGAGACAAGGUCUUAUGUACCUAAGUUGUCCUCAAACUCACUUAGCUGAGGUCCUCUGCACAUAUUCUAUGGUUGUUCAAGCUUAAGAUUUUUUGCAGGUUUCCUAUCUGGAGAACGGGGAGGGGGUGUCUGACUCUUUUGCCUGCUCCUGGGACCCUUUUCCUGCUAGUGGAUUGCUUUGCCCAGCCUUGAUAUGAGGGUUUGUGCCUAGUCUUACUGUAACUUGUUAUGCUCAGUUGGUAUCCCUAGGAGGCCUGAUUUAUUUUUUGGAAGGGGAAUGGAGAGAGGGAAGGGAGGGGAGGGGACUGAGAGGAGUGAAGGACUUCAAAAGUACAGUCAGGAUGUAUUAUGUGAGAGAAGAAUAAAUAAACAGAAAAAGGAUAAAAAGGAAGACAAACACCUGAGCUAACUGAAGGUCACCUUGAGCUCUGCAUUGCCUGUUUUUAUCUCCCUAGUGCUGGGAUUACAGACUUGUGCUGCCAGCUUGGUUUAAGGAGUGCUGGGUAUUGAACCCAGAACUUUGUGAAUGCUAUGCCAGCACUUUGACAACUGAGCUACAUUCUCAGCCUUUUACAUUUGAAUGUUGAGCCCAGUGAUAUGUUGAACAAUACUGUUUGUCGGUGCUGAGCAUGAGAGGACAUCUCAGCUCUCAGUCCGUCAUGGAGCCGCAAGAGUUAGCAACCAUUCAUAAGCUGUGGACUGCCUAACCUCCAUGGCUAAUGUGUUGUGACUUGUGCCAGUUUCAAUUUAAGACAAAUUUCCUGGACAUAACCCAUUGGAGGUUGAGGAGCAUCUGCUUUGUCUCCAUCUCAUCUUUCAGCCAUCCCGUAGCUCCGCUUUGAACCAACUGCAUAGACAUUGUGGGUUGGCGUCAUUUAGUUUUAUCUUACGGUUCGAGGGUGGAUUUCGUACCCAGUUUGGUUGUAUGUGUCAUCCAUGGAUUUUCCCCACCACUACCCCUCUUUGGUUGCUCUGUUUUUAUGCAAGAGCACAGAAAGAAUCAAAAUCUGUUACUGCUAGUUCAUCUUUCCAGGCUUCUGAUUUGAAUAGCAAGUUGAUAGCAAUCAUAGAGCACGACCGAUAUCAUCCUUAACUGGUCACAACCUGAGAAAUGCUAUCGUCUAUAGAUGAUGUCUGACAAACUUGGCUGGACACUAGGAAUACCCUGUUGCUAUAAUCAGGCUGAUUCUUGGGUUUCUACUGCCAAGAGCCUGUGACUGAAUUGUUCUGGGGUCUUGUGCUCCCAGGUGAUUGCAAUGUGUAGCCAAGCUUGAUAAUUGCUAAUGUGAAGAAAUAAACAUUUGGUAAAGCGUUUCCACCGUCUGUUCUGCACACAGGUCCCUUCCCCCAUCAUUAUUACGAUGUGUGGCUCAGGUGAGGCAGACUCGCUCCCGGCAGCUGGGGUUGUCAAGACAUUGAAGCACAGCCCAUCGGGUGUUUCCUUUCUCCCUGAGGACAGAGGCAGACCCAGCUGAAUCAGUGAAAAAAAGUUCCCGUGAGAUUUAUGGAAGAAUUAUGAUAAAAGAG